rnacentral:rRNA from 1 species
UGAACGCGUGAGAAUCUGGCUUCAGGUCUGGGACAACCACUGGAAACGGUGGCUAAUACCGGAUGUGCCGAGAGGUGAAAGGUUAACUGCCUGAAGAUGAGCUCGCGUCUGAUUAGCUAGUUGGAAGUGUAAUGGACUCCCAAGGCGACGAUCAGUAGCUGGUCUGAGAGGACGAUCAGCCACACUGGGACUGAGACACGGCCCAGACUCCUACGGGAGGCAGCAGUGGGGAAUUUUCCGCAAUGGGCGAAAGCCUGACGGAGCAAUACCGCGUGAGGGAGGAAGGCUCUUGGGUCGUAAACCUCUUUUCUCAGGGAAGAACACAAUGACGGUACCUGAGGAAUAAGCAUCGGCUAACUCCGUGCCAGCAGCCGCGGUAAUACGGAGGAUGCAAGCGUUAUCCGGAAUGAUUGGGCGUAAAGCGUCCGCAGGUGGCUAUGUAAGUCUGCUGUUAAAGAGUCUAGCUCAACUAGAUAAGAGCAGUGGAAACUACAAGGCUAGAGUACGUUCGGGGCAGAGGGAAUUCCUGGUGUAGCGGUGAAAUGCGUAGAGAUCAGGAAGAACACCGGUGGCGAAGGCGCUCUGCUAGGCCGUAACUGACACUGAGGGACGAAAGCUAGGGGAGCGAAUGGGAUUAGAUA